rnacentral:rRNA from 1 species
CAGUCGCCGCGGUAAUACGUAGGUGGCAAGCGUUGUCCGGAAUUAUUGGGCGUAAAGGGCUCGCAGGCGGUUUCUUAAGUCUGAUGUGAAAGCCCCCGGCUCAACCGGGGAGGGUCAUCGGAAACUGGGAAACUUGAGUGCAGAAGAGGAGAGUGGAAUUCCACGUGUAGCGGUGAAAUGCGUAGAGAUGUGGAGGAACACCAGUGGCGAAGGCGACUCUCUGGUCUGUAACUGACGCUGAGGAGCGAAAGCGUGGGGAGCGAACAGGAUUAGAUACCCCAGUAGUCCCUGUCUCUUAUAC